rnacentral:rRNA from 1 species
UACGGGGGGUGCAAGCGUUAUCCGGAUUCACUGGGGUUAAAGGGUGCGUAGGAGGGCAGGUAAGUCAGUGGUGAAAUCUCCAAGCUUAACUUGGAAACUGCCGUUGAUACUAUCUGUCUUGAAUAUUGUGGAGGUGAGCGGAAUAUGUCAUGUAGCGGUGAAAUGCUUAGAUAUGACAUAGAACACCAAUUGCGAAGGCAGCUCACUACUCAAUCAUUGACUCUGAGGCACGAAAGCGUGGGGAUCAAACAGG